rnacentral:pre_miRNA from 1 species
AUAACUGAUUUCCUCUGGUGCUUAGAGCCAUCUGCAGCCUUCUAGCACCAUUUGAAAUCGGUUAU